UACAUGCAGUCGAGCGGACCGACGGGAGCUUGCUCCCUUAGGUCAGCGGCGGACGGGUGAGUAACACGUGGGUAACCUGCCUGUAAGACUGGGAUAACUCCGGGAAACCGGGGCUAAUACCGGAUGCUUGAUUGAACCGCAUGGUUCAAUCAUAAAAGGUGGCUUUUAGCUACCACUUACAGAUGGACCCGCGGCGCAUUAGCUAGUUGGUGAGGUAACGGCUCACCAAGGCGACGAUGCGUAGCCGACCUGAGAGGGUGAUCGGCCACACUGGGACUGAGACACGGCCCAGACUCCUACGGGAGGCAGCAGUAGGGAAUCUUCCGCAAUGGACGAAAGUCUGACGGAGCAACGCCGCGUGAGUGAUGAAGGUUUUCGGAUCGUAAAACUCUGUUGUUAGGGAAGAACAAGUACCGUUCGAAUAGGGCGGUACCUUGACGGUACCUAACCAGAAAGCCACGGCUAACUACGUGCCAGCAGCCGCGGUAAUACGUAGGUGGCAAGCGUUGUCCGGAAUUAUUGGGCGUAAAGCGCGCGCAGGCGGUUUCUUAAGUCUGAUGUGAAAGCCCCCGGCUCAACCGGGGGAGGGUCAUUGGAAACUGGGGAACUUGAGUGCAGAAGAGGAGAGUGGAAUUCCACGUGUAGCGGUGAAAUGCGU
rnacentral:rRNA from 1 species